rnacentral:rRNA from 1 species
UGGGGAAUAUUGCACAAUGGGCGAAAGCCUGAUGCAGCGACGCCGCGUGAGGGAUGACGGCCUUCGGGUUGUAAACCUCUUUCAGCAGGGAAGAAGCGCAAGUGACGGUACCUGCAGAAGAAGCACCGGCUAACUACGUGCCAGCAGCCGCGGUAAUACGUAGGGUGCGAGCGUUGUCCGGAAUUAUUGGGCGUAAAGAGCUUGUAGGCGGUUUGUCGCGUCUGCUGUGAAAAUCCGGGGCUCAACUCCGGACUUGCAGUGGGUACGGGCAGACUAGAGUGUGGUAGGGGAGACUGGAAUUCCUGGUGUAGCGGUGGAAUGCGCAGAUAUCAGGAGGAACACCGAUGGCGAAGGCAGGUCUCUGGGCCACUACUGACGCUGAGAAGCGAAAGCAUGGGGAGCGAACA